UUAAACUAGGGAUUAGAUACCCUAUUAUUAAAAUUUAAAUAUAAAAUACUAAAAUAGUAGAUAAUUAUUUAUUGAAACUUAAAUAAUUUGGCGGUAUUUUAGUUCAUUUAGAGGAAUCUGUUUAAUAAUUGAUAAUCCACGAAUAAAUUUACUUAAUUUUUUUAUUUUGUAUAUCGUUGUUAAAAAAAUAUUUUUUAAUAAUAAAUAAUAUUUAGAAAUUUAAAUAAAAAAUUAAAUCAGAUCAAGAUGCAGAUUAUAAUUAAGAAUAUAAUGGAUUACAAUAAAUUUAUUUAAAUGAAUAUUAAUUUGUAAAAUUUAAUUGAAAGUGGAUUUAAAUGUAA
rnacentral:rRNA from 1 species